rnacentral:rRNA from 1 species
UACGAAGGGUGCUAGCGUUGUUCGGAUUUACUGGGCGUAAAGCGCGCGUAGGCGGCGAUACAAGUCAGUGGUGAAAUCCCGGGGCUCAACCCCGGAAUUGCCUUUGAAACUGUAUUGCUAGAGUGUCGGAGGGGAUAGCGGAAUUCCUAAUGUAGAGGUGAAAUUCGUAGAUAUUAGGAGGAACACCGGUGGCGAAGGCGGCUAUCUGGACGACAACUGACGCUGAUGUGCGAAAGCGUGGGGAUCAAACAGG